UGGUCAUAAGAAAAAAACACGACCCACCUUAUUUCCAACCCUAUCUCUAUCACAACCGUCCUCUUUCUUCAUCUUCUUCGCUCUUCUUUUCUUCUUCCUUUCUAUUUGUUUCUCUCUCAGACUCUCACCGUCGACGGUAUUCAAUGGUCCGACCACACUUUCUCUGAUUUGAAGGAGGUUCGAUCGAUUUCUGAGCCAAUCACCGUCGCAGGUUUUCGUUUUAGGUAUACCACAAUUACACCUCUGGCUGAUAGAGUGUUGAUCAAGAUCAAGAAUCCACAAUUACAUCUCUAAGUAGCGAAAUUAUCGGCACAUGACUCAGAUAGUAGGUAGCUAGUGAGAUUUUCCAAGGUUUUGUAAGAGCAGCCACCUAUUUGCCUUUUCCUUCAGGUGGAAUUUUGCUACCCUCAACUGCUCUCAGUAAGCCACAAAAUGGUGAGGUGGUUGCUGUUGGAGAGGGAAGGACAAUUGGGAAGAGCAAAAUAGAAAUUGGUGUCAAGACUGGAAGCCAGGUAGUGUACUCAAAGUAUGCGGGGACUGAGUUGGAGUUUAAUGGGUCAAACCAUCUGUUAAUGAAGGAAGAUGACAUUGUUGGCAUCCUGGAGGCAGAUGAUAUCAAGGAACUUAAGCCUAUGAAUGAGAGAGUCCUCAUUAAGAGUUAUGAGAUUUGCGUUUGAGUUCCAGAUUUGAAGUUGGUUUCGAUCCAUAUACCAGAUUUGAAGUCUGUUUUGGUUCUAGAUUUUUUUUUGUGGAGUUUAAAGUGUACAUGUAAUUAUAUAAGAUUUGUAUUAGAUUUUGUUCUAAGUAUACUACAAUUUAGUUCUAGAAUUAUUUUUUCAUUUGUAUCUACAUUUAUUAUCAAUAAUAAUUGAAUUGAUUAA